UAUAAGACUGGGAUAACUUCGGGAAACCGGAGCUAAUGCCGGAUAACAUAUAGAACCGCAUGGUUCUAUAGUGAAAGAUGGUUUUGCUAUCACUUAUAGAUGGACCCGCGCCGUAUUAGCUAGUUGGUAAGGUAAUGGCUUACCAAGGCGACGAUACGUAGCCGACCUGAGAGGGUGAUCGGCCACACUGGAACUGAGACACGGUCCAGACUCCUACGGGAGGCAGCAGUAGGGAAUCUUCCGCAAUGGGCGAAAGCCUGACGGAGCAACGCCGCGUGAGUGAUGAAGGUUUUCGGAUCGUAAAACUCUGUUAUUAGGGAAGAACAAAUGCGUAAGUAACUGUGCGCAUCUUGACGGUACCUAAUCAGAAAGCCACGGCUAACUACGUGCCAGCAGCCGCGGUAAUACGUAGGUGGCAAGCGUUAUCCGGAAUUAUUGGGCGUAAAGCGCGCGUAGGCGGUUUCUUAAGUCUGAUGUGAAAGCCCACGGCUCAACCGUGGAGGGUCAUUGGAAACUGGGAAACUUGAGUGCAGAAGAGGAAAGUGGAAUUCCAUGUGUAGCGGUGAAAUGCGCAGAGAUAUGGAGGAACACCAGUGGCGAAGGCGACUUUCUGGUCUGUAACUGACGCUGAUGUGCGAAAGCGUGGGGAUCAAACAGGAUUAGAUACCCUGGUAGUCCACGCCGUAAACGAUGAGUGCUAAGUGUUAGGGGGUUUCCGCCCCUUAGUGCUGCAGCUAACGCAUUAAGCACUCCGCCUGGGGGAGUACGACCGCAAGGUUGAAAACUCA
rnacentral:rRNA from 1 species